rnacentral:antisense_RNA from 1 species
AUUUUUACAGGUAAAACAGCGGAAAUGCGUGGUAAGCGAAACGGUAAAUGCUGAUGUUGCGCAAACAAACAGACGAGAAAAACGAAAGAAAAGAAACGACUGAGAAUGGUGCGUCCGAGUGGACUCGAACCACCGACCCCCACCA